rnacentral:misc_RNA from 1 species
UCUCCACCUCCUCCAUAUUACUACAAGUCACCACCUCCACCUUCCCCAUCACCUCCACCACCAUACUACUAUAAGUCUCCACCUCCACCAUCUCCUUCGCCACCACCUCCAUACCACUACACAUCACCUCCUCCUCCAAAGAAAUCUCCACCUCCUCCAUAUUACUACAAGUCUCCACCACCACCUUCCCCCUCACCACCACCUCUAUACCAUUACACAUCACCUCCUCCCCCAAAGAAGUCUCCACCUCCUCCAUACUAUUAUAAGUCACCACCACCG